rnacentral:tRNA from 1 species
UAGGCCUAUGAAAACAAUUCAAAACCAAAUUUGCACUUUGGCGUCUAUUAAGCCU